rnacentral:rRNA from 1 species
CCUGGCUUAGGAUGAACGCUAGCUACAGGCUUAACACAUGCAAGUCAGGGGCAGCAUAUCGAAGCUUGCUUGAUAGAUGGCGACCGGCGCACGGGUGCGUAACACGUAUCCAAUCUACCCAUGGCUCAGGGAUAGCCUUUCGAAAGAAAGAUUAAUACCUGAUGGUUUCAUGAUUCCGCAUGGACUUAUGAAUAAAGAUUUAUCGGCGAUGGAUGAGGAUGCGUCCGAUUAGCUCGUUGGCGGGGUAACGGCCCACCAAGGCGACGAUCGGUAGGGGCUCUGAGAGGAGGAUCCCCCACAUUGGAACUGAGACACGGUCCAAACUCCUACGGGAGGCAGCAGUGAGGAAUAUUGGUCAAUGGGCGAGAGCCUGAACCAGCCAAGUAGCGUGAGGGAUGACUGCCCUAUGGGUUGUAAACCUCUUUUGUUUGGGAAUAAAGUGAGCCACGUGUGGCUUUUUGUAUGUACCUUACGAAUAAGCAUCGGCUAAUUCCGUGCCAGCAGCCGC